rnacentral:rRNA from 1 species
AUUGAACGCUGGCGGCAGGCCUAACACAUGCAAGUCGAACGCGAGGCGUACGGGAGAGUUAUGUCUGGUUAACUGCCUUAGGGAGGGGGAUCACCACGGGAAACGAUAGCUUAUCCCGCAUACCAUCAGAUGUGCCCAUAUGGGAUUCGCUAGUUGGUGGGGUAACGGCUCACCAAGGCGACGAUCCCUAGCUGGUCUGAGAGGAUGACCAGCCACACUGAAACUGAGACACGGUCCAGACUCCUACGGGAGGCAGCAGUGGGGAAUAUUGCACAAUGGGCGCAAGCCUGAUGCAGCCAUGCCGAGUGUAUGAAGAAGGCCUUCGGGUUGUAAAGUACUUUCAGCGGGGAGGCGUUACCCGCAGAAGAAGCACCGGCUAACUCCGUGCCAGCAGCCGCGGUAAUAC